rnacentral:rRNA from 2 species
GGUUAAGUGACUAAGCGUACAUGGUGGAUGCCUUGGCAGUCAGAGGCGAUGAAGGACGUACUAACCUGCGAUAAGCUGUGAGAAGUCGGUAAGAGACGCUAUUACUCACAGAUUUCCGAAUGGGGAAACCCACCCGAGAUAACUCGGGUAUCUGUUACUGAAUACAUAGGUAACAGAGGCGAACCGGGAGAACUGAAACAUCUAAGUACCCCGAGGAAAAGAAAUCAACCGAGAUUCCCUCAGUAGCGGCGAGCGAACGGGGAUUAGCCCUUAAGCAUCUUGGAAGUUAGUGGAACGGUCCUGGAAAGGCCGGCGAUACAGGGUGAUAGCCCCGUACACGAAAACAACCUUGAUGUGAAAUCGAGUAGGGCGGGACACGUGACAUCCUGUCUGAAUAUGGGGGGACCAUCCUCCAAGGCUAAAUACUCCUGACUGACCGAUAGUGAACCAGUACCGUGAGGGAAAGGCGAAAAGAACCCCUGUGAGGGGAGUGAAAUAGAACCUGAAACCGUGUACGUACAAGCAGUGGGAGCCCUUCGGGGUGACUGCGUACCUUUUGUAUAAUGGGUCAGCGACUUACAUUUUGUAGCGAGGUUAACCGUAUAGGGGAGCCGUAGGGAAACCGAGUCUUAACUGGGCGUCUAGUUGCAAGGUGUAGACCCGAAACCGGGUGAUCUAGCCAUGGGCAGGUUGAAGGUUGAGUAACAUCAACUGGAGGACCGAACCCACUAACGUUGCAAAGUUAGGGGAUGACCUGUGGCUGGGGGUGAAAGGCCAAUCAAACUCGGAGAUAGCUGGUUCUCCCCGAAAGCUAUUUAGGUAGCGCCUCGGACGAAUACUACUGGGGGUAGAGCACUGUUUGGGCUAGGGGGUCAUCCCGACUUACCAACCCCAUGCAAACUCCGAAUACCAGUAAGUAAUAUCCGGGAGACACACGGCGGGUGCUAACGUCCGUCGUGAAGAGGGAAACAACCCAGACCGCCGGCUAAGGUCCCAAAGUUCUGGUUAAGUGGGAAACGAUGUGGGAAGGCUCAGACAGCUAGGAUGUUGGCUUAGAAGCAGCCAUCAUUUAAAGAAAGCGUAAUAGCUCACUAGUCGAGUCGGCCUGCGCGGAAGAUGUAACGGGGCUCAAACCAGGCACCGAAGCCGCGGAUUCACACUUAUGUGUGAGUGGUAGGGGAGCGUUCUGUAAGUCUGCGAAGGUGUAUCGAGAGGUAUGCUGGAGAUAUCAGAAGUGCGAAUGCUGACGUAAGUAACGAUAAAGGGGGUGAAAAGCCUCCUCGCCGGAAGACCAAGGGUUCCUGUCCAACGUUAAUCGGGGCAGGGUGAGUCGACCCCUAAGGCGAGGCCGAAAGGCGUAGUCGAUGGGAAGCAGGUUAAUAUUCCUGCACGACUUGUAAUUGCGAUGGGGGGACGGAGAAGGCUAGGUGGGCCAGGCGACGGUUGUCCUGGUGAAAGUGCGUAGGUGGUGUUUCUAGGCAAAUCCGGAGACACAACACUGAGACACGAGACGAACACACUACGGUGUGGAAGCCAUUGAUGCCCUGCUUCCAGGAAAAGCCUCUAAGCUUCAGAUUACAAGUCAUCGUACCCCAAACCGACACAGGUGGUCGGGUAGAGAAUACCAAGGCGCUUGAGAGAACUCGGGUGAAGGAACUAGGCAAAAUAGAACCGUAACUUCGGGAGAAGGUUCGCUCUUGACAGUGAAGUCCCUUGCGGAUGGAGCAGUUGGGAGUCGCAGUGACCAGAUGGCUGGGACUGUUUAUCAAAAACACAGCACUCUGCAAACACGAAAGUGGACGUAUAGGGUGUGACACCUGCCCGGUGCCGGAAGGUUAAUUGAUGGGGUUAGCGCAAGCGAAGCUCUUGAUCGAAGCCCCGGUAAACGGCGGCCGUAACUAUAACGGUCCUAAGGUAGCGAAAUUCCUUGUCGGGUAAGUUCCGACCUGCACGAAUGGUGUAACCAUGGCCAUGCUGUCUCCACCCGAGACUCAGUGAAAUCGAAUUCGCCGUGAAGAUGCGGUGUACCCGCGGCUAGACGGAAAGACCCCGUGAACCUUUACUACAGCUUGGCACUGAACAUUGAACCUACAUGUGUAGGAUAGGUGGGAGGCUUUGAAGGCGUGACGCCAGUUGCGCUGGAGCCGUCCUUGAAAUACCACCCUUGUAUGUUUGAUGUUCUAACGCAGGGCCCUGAAUCGGGCUCGCGGACAGUGCCUGGUGGGUAGUUUGACUGGGGCGGUCUCCUCCCAAAGAGUAACGGAGGAGCACGAAGGUUGGCUAAUCCUGGUCGGACAUCAGGAGGUUAGUGCAAUGGCAUAAGCCAGCUUAACUGCGAGACGGACAGGUCGAGCAGGUACGAAAGUAGGUCAUAGUGAUCCGGUGGUUCUGAAUGGAAGGGCCAUCGCUCAACGGAUAAAAGGUACUCCGGGGAUAACAGGCUGAUACCGCCCAAGAGUUCAUAUCGACGGCGGUGUUUGGCACCUCGAUGUCGGCUCAUCACAUCCUGGGGCUGAAGUCGGUCCCAAGGGUAUGGCUGUUCGCCAUUUAAAGUGGUACGCGAGCUGGGUUCAGAACGUCGUGAGACAGUUCGGUCCCUAUCUGCCGUGGGCGUUGGAUGAUUGAAGGGAGUUGCUCCUAGUACGAGAGGACCGGAGUGAACGAACCUCUGGUGUUCGGGUUGUCACGCCAGUGGCACUGCCCGGUAGCUAAGUUCGGAAUCGAUAACCGCUGAAAGCAUCUAAGCGGGAAGCGAGCCCUGAGAUGAGUCAUCCCUGACCCCUUGAGGGUCCUAAAGGGCCGUUGGAGACCACAACGUUGAUAGGUGGGGUGUGUAAGCGCGGCGACGUGUUGAGCUAACCCAUACUAAUUACCCGUGAGGCUUAACCAU